UUUCCGUAGGUGAACCUGCGGAAGGAUCAUUGUCGAAACCUGCCCAGCAGAACGACCCGCGAACUUGUAUAAACAACUGGGGGCGGGGGGCGUUCUCGCCCCGUGCCCCCGAACGGCGGGGAGACACUCGUGCCUUCUUGCCGAACAACGAACCCCGGCGCGGUCUGCGCCAAGGAACUUCAACUAAAGAGUGCCUCCGGUCGCCUCGGAAACGGCGUGCGUGCCGGAGGCGAAUCUUGUGCAAAACCAUAACGACUCUCGGCAACGGAUAUCUCGGCUCUCGCAUCGAUGAAGAACGCAGU
rnacentral:misc_RNA from 1 species